rnacentral:rRNA from 1 species
GUGUCAGCAGCCGCGGUAAUACGUAGGUGGCGAGCGUUGUCCGGAAUUAUUGGGCGUAAAGGAUGCGUAGGUGGAUAUUUAAGUGGGAUGUGAAAUCCCCGGGCUCAACCCGGGAACUGCAUUCCAUACUGGAUGUCUAGAGUGCAGGAGAGGAAAGCGGAAUUCCUAGUGUAGCGGUGAAAUGCGUAGAUAUUAGGAGGAACACCAGUGGCGAAGGCGGCUUUCUGGACUGUAACUGACACUGAGGCAUGAAAGCGUGGGUAGCAAACAGGAUUAGAAACCCCCGUAGUCC